rnacentral:rRNA from 1 species
AUUGAACGCUGGCGGCAUGCUUUACACAUGCAAGUCGAACGGUAACAGGGAGCUUGCUCCGCUGACGAGUGGCGAACGGGUGAGUAAUGCGUCGGAACGUGCCGAGUAGUGGGGGAUAACGCAUCGAAAGGUGUGCUAAUACCGCAUACGUACUGAGGUAGAAAGUGGGGGACCUUCGGGCCUCACGCUAUUCGAGCGGCCGACGCCUGAUUAGCUAGUUGGUGAGGUAAAGGCUCACCAAGGCGACGAUCAGUAGCGGGUCUGAGAGGAUGAUCCGCCACACUGGGACUGAGACACGGCCCAGACUCCUACGGGAGGCAGCAGUGGGGAAUUUUGGACAAUGGGCGCAAGCCUGAUUCAGCCAUGCCGCGUGUCUGAAGAAGGCCUUCGGGUUGUAAAGGACUUUUGUCCGGGAGCAAAUGCUGGUGGCUAACAUCCACCGGAGCUGAGAGUACCGGAAGAAUAAGCACCGGCUAACUACGUGCCAGCCGCCGCAGUAAUAC